rnacentral:lncRNA from 10 species
CCGCGCUCCAGCAGCGGCCACCAAGAUUCGGGGCGCUGGGCCCUCUCCUAGCCCAGCGGUCAGCCGCCCAGCCCCGUGGCUAUCACAGCGACCGCCGCGCCACCGCUGCCCAGGACGAGGCUCUUCUGGGGCGCUAUUUUUUUGUAUUUUUAGUAGAGACGGGGUUUCACCAUGUUGGUCAGGCUGGUCUCGAACUCCUGACCUCAAGUUAUCUGCGUACUCCGGCCUCCUAAAAUGCUAGGAUUACAGGCAUUGAGAGGUGACAGCGUGCUGGCAAGUCCUCACAAUCCUCGCUUGCUCUCGGCGCCUCCUCUGCCUGGGCUCCCACUUUGGCGGCACUUGAGGAGCCCUUCAGCCCACCACUGCACUGUGGGAGCCCCUUUCUGGGCUGGCCAAGGCCGGAGCCCGCUCCCUCAGCUUGCAGGGAGGUGUGGAGGGAGAGGCCCGAGCGGGAACCGGGGCUGCGCGCCGCGCUUGCGGGCCAGCUGGAGUUCCGGGUGGGCGUGGGCUUGGCCCUGCCGGCCCCGGGCAAUGAGGGGCUUAGCACCCGGGCCAGCGGCUGCGGAGGGUGUACUGGGUCCCCCAGCAGUGCCAGCCCACCGGCGCUGCGCUCGAUUUCUCACCGAGUCUUAGCUGCCUUCCUGCGGGGCAGGGCUCGGGACCUGCAGCCCGCCAUGCCUGAGCCUCCCACCCCCUCCAUGGGCUCCUGUGCAGCCCGAGCCUCCCUGACGAGCUCCACCCCCUGCUCCAGGGCACCCAGUCCCAUCGACCACCCAAGGGCUGAGGAGUGCUGCAGGCGCACGGACCCGGGACUGACAGGCAGCUCCACCUGCAGCCCCGGUGGGGGAUCCACUGGGUGAAGCCAGCUGGGCUCCUGAGUCUGGUGGGGACUGGAGAAUCUUUAUGUCUAGCUCAGGGAUUGUAAAUACACCAAUCGGCACUCUGUAUCUAGCUCAAGGUUUGUAAACACACCAAUCGGCACCCUGUGUCUAGCUCAGGGUUUGUGAGUGCACCAAACGACACUCUGUAUCUAGCUACUCUGGUGGGGCCUUGGAGAACCUUUGUGUAGACACUCUGUAUCUAACUAAUCUGGUGGGGACGUGGAGAACCUUUGUGUCUAGCGCAGGGAUUGUAAAUGCACCAAUCAGUGCCCUGACAAAACAGACCACUCGGCUCUACCAAUCAGCAGGACGUGGGUGGGGCCAGAUAAGAGAAUAAAAGCAGGCUGCCCGAACCAGCAUUGGCAACCCGCUGGGGUCCGCUUCCACACUGUGUAGGCUUUGUUCUUUCGCUCUUUGCAAUAACUCUUGCUACUGUGCACUCUUUGGGUCUAUACUGCUUUUAUGAGCUGUAACACUCACCGCGAAGGUCUGCAGCUUCACUCCUGAAGCCAGUGAGACCACGAGCCCACCGGGAGGAACUAACAACUCCAGACGCGCUGCCUUAAGAGCUGUAACACUCACUGCGAAGGUCUGCAGCUUCACUCCUGAGCCAGUGAGACCACGAACCCACCAGAAGAAAGAAACUCCGAACACAUCUGAACGUCAGAAGGAACAAACUCCAGACGUGCCACCUUAAGAACUGUAACACUCACCGAGAGGAUCUGCGGCUUCAUUUUUGAAGGCAGUGAGACCAAGAACCCACCAAUUCCGGACCCAGCAUGAACCACAGAGCCUGGCCAAUAGAUGCGUCUUGAGCCCCUAGUCUCCAUUAAGUAUUUUAAAAGGAUUAUUUCCUUAACAGAGGCCCCUUAAAGCAGAAUUAUUGGGUAGAAGCUCUUGCUACAUAUUAAGAAUCGGGCAGAUUCUGCUCCUUCCCUUCCCACUUGCUGCCCUGUGAAUCAUUUGGCAGUAUCCACAAUGGGUCUUACUCCUUCUCCCAGGCCAGAGUGCAGUGGUGUCAUCAUGGUUCACUGUAGCCUCCAUCUCUUGGGCUCAGGCAAUCCUCCCUCCUCAGUCUCCUGAGUAGUUGGGACCACAGGU